UAUAUAUAUAUAUAUAUAUAUUCCGGCUACUAUACUCUUGUGAGUACAAUCGCCCUCGUACUCAUAAGUUGUUUUCGAUGAUAGAGCUUCCGAAUCGACGAUCAAAUUUUAUAAUUUUUCGAUAUCAUUUACCUUACGAUCAAAAGGUCACAAAAUUGACAAUUUUUAACGGCCGAUAUGAGAUAUUUGCAAGUUUAACGAUGAAAAAGAAUCGAAAUAGGUUGAAUUUUUGAUAGAAAAUUCUAUUCACUACCUAAAUAAAAAUCAAUAACUCCGAUCUUAAAUUGAAGGAUCUGAACAUCCAUUUUUAAGAUUUCUUUCGAUUUUAACUGUUCAUUUUAUACCUGCUUGAUGGACUUUAUAAUAAUUUUGAAAAAUUACAAAAUUUAUUUUCUAGAAGUUUCAAAUACUCCAGAUCAUUUUUAACGGUGUGGAUCGUCGAUUCGAAAAGCCUAACAUCAAAAACAACUUAUAAGUACGAAGGGUUCUAUACUCAUAACAGUAUCGUAGCCCUAC
rnacentral:lncRNA from 1 species